rnacentral:rRNA from 1 species
GGCCUGGCUGGAUGGUCCGCCUUCUGGGUGAGUACUGUCUGUGGUCGGGUCCUACCUUCUGGCGAAGCGUCAUGGCCUUAACCGGCCGUGGCGGGGAGCCAGGACUUUUACUGUGAAAAAAUUAGAGUGUUCAAAGCAGGCACGCGCUUGAAUACAUUAGCAUGGAAUAAUGGAAUAGGACAGUGGUUCUAUUUGUUGGUUUCUAGGACCGUUGUA